AUACGGAAGGUGCGAGCGUUAUCCGGAUUCAUUGGGUUUAAAGGGAGCGUAGGCGGAGCGCCAAGUCAGCUGUGAAAUCCCGCUGCUCAACCGUGGAACUGCAGUUGAAACUGGCGCCCUUGAGUGCACAUGAGGAUGGCGGAAUUCGUGGUGUAGCGGUGAAAUGCUUAGAUAUCACGAAGAACCCCCAUUGCGAACGCAGCUGUCCGGGUGGCCACUGACGAUGAGGCUCGAAAGUGCGGGUAUCAAACAGUAAUAGAUUCCCUGGUUAUGCGCACAGUAAACGAUGGACACUCGUGUUCGGUGACACACUGCCGGUCAUCCAGCGAAAGCGAUAAGUGUCCCACCUGGGGAGUUCGCCGGCAACGGUGAAACUCAAAUGAAUUGACGGGG
rnacentral:rRNA from 1 species